CGGGCGGCCGUGACCCUGGUGGAGUGCGGGGGGGACCUCCAGCCCCCCGGGGGAUCCCUGCGCCUCCUCUGCCGAGGGUCCGGGUUCAGUUUCGGGAGUGUUGCCAUGCAGUGGGUCCGUCAGAGACCCGGGCAGGGGCUGGAGUGGCUCGCAGGGAUCUGGGGCAAUGGUGGAGACACCCGCUACGCGCCGUCUGUCACGGUUCGGUUCACAAUCUCCAGGGACAAUGGGCAGAGCUCGGUGACGCUGACCAUGAACACCCUCAAGGACGAGGAUUCCGGAUCCUAUUUCUGCACC